rnacentral:lncRNA from 1 species
CAUGCCUUAGUUUACCGCAUAAAAAGCAAAAAAGAGUGAAUUUUUCAUAUUCAAAUUUGACAUAGACAGACGUACCAUUUGGGAGUGUGAACCUCUUCUUUCUUUUCAGCGGUUUACUAACAUCAAUUCGUACCCUCACCCGCAUUAUUCCUUUGUAACCCAAUUGGACAACUAUUGUAUCAUAAUCAAAGAAAACCCUAAUAAAAUUGUCUAACUGUCUUGCAACUACCUCAGACAUGAAACCAUGAGGAAUGUCAUUGAUGAUAACCCA